UUUGAUGCGCUGAAAUUGAAUUCAACGCCUCAGAUCUGAAUGAGAUGGGAAAUGGGAUAACAUUUGAAGUGAGAAGAUCCCCUAUUUCAUCACCCAAAACUAAGAUGAUCGGCCAUGAGAAGUGAAUGAAAUCCUCUUAGAAAUGGGAUGACAAUGGCGAACAAUAUGCAGCUAAACAAUAAAGAAAAAAACCCAAUUUGUCGUUACUUUAUCAACCUAACGACGUUAUUUGCUAGAUGGGGGGCCCACCAUAACGGCAAAAAUCCAUCAGUUAAUAAUAACCGUACACAUGAAUAUGAUAUUAAUAUCUGGUACAAGGAAUGGCCCACUAAACCUACUGAUUGACAAAAUGAAGCACAUCAGCCUGAUUGCCUAGGUGCUCCUCCCCAAAGGAGCAAUACUUGGAAAUCAUGAUUCCUGGUCUACUUGUAAGUUCUCCAAGAAGGUGAAAGAUGGAGUUCAAGUCCAACUGGAAUGUCUCGGUGAAGCGCAUGUCGAAUAUGACCACUUGGACUUCCCUCCACUAAAGCUUAGUGUUGUAGGUGGGAGACCGUUUUCUUGUGGAGGCAACCAGUUAUUCAGGAAAAAGCUUUUAACUGCCAGGUAUGGUGUACAUAAUAUGGAAGAAAGUGCCGAACAAAUUUAUAAGGUUGCUUUACGGACUCCAAAGGAGAAUUCCAUGAUACUUCUCUGAUUCUCUUUCAUAACGAACCAAAAGGUCAUGGUUCCAGAAAUGACGACAUAUGCGGCAUAGAUUGGGAGCCUGAAGGUGGAGAUCACGGAGAUCCUAAUUUAGCUCAAGCAAUCUUGCAAUUGAAAGAGACUACCAAUUAUAACAUUCCUUUGGUAGUAUUUGGACACAUGCAUAAAGAGUUGGCUUGUGGAUCUUCGCGGAAGAUGAUAGCCAUGGACGCUGACACCAUGUACCUAAAUGCAGCCAUUGUUCCUAGAGUGAAAUAUCCGACUUCAGGAGGUUCAAUUCGGGCUUUCACUGUGGUAGAAUUUUCAAAUAGCAAAAUAAUCAAGGUAGUAGAAACUUGGUUGUCAAUCGUUGAUGAAAAAAUUUCAAUUGAAGAAGAGCAUUAUUUUUUUAGUAGUAACUACUUUUUAAAGUUUGAACCUUUUUUUUUUAAUUAGAAAUUGUUUAAGAUUAUUAAAGAUAUGAUUAUCAAUAUUUUGAAUGUGAUUUUUUACA